rnacentral:ncRNA from 1 species
GUACAUGGAGAUAAAAACACAGUUUCGGUAGGUAGUCCGAACCUAUCUAUAUUUUGUAGAUAGCAGUAUCCUUCCCUCCUGGGGUCGUCCAUUCUCUAUUUUAAUUUA